UACGAAGGGAGCUAGCGUUGUUCGGAAUCACUGGGCGUAAAGCGCACGUAGGCGGAUGUGUCAGUCAGGGGUGAAAUCCCGGAGCUCAACUUCGGAACUGCCCUUGAUACAGCACGUCUUGAGUCCGGAAGAGGUGGGUGGAAUUCCUAGUGUAGAGGUGAAAUUCGUAGAUAUUAGGAAGAACACCAGUGGCGAAGGCGGCUCACUGGUCCGGUUCUGACGCUGAGGCGCGAAAGCGUGGGGAGCAAACAGG
rnacentral:rRNA from 1 species